rnacentral:tRNA from 1 species
GCCCUGGUGGCGCAGUGGUUAAGUGCUUGGCUGCUAACCAAAAAGUUGGUGGUUGUAAACCACCCAGUGGCU